rnacentral:tRNA from 1 species
GUCUUCGUGGUGUAAUGGUCACACACUUUACGUGUAACCGAGAUAUCCGUGGUUCGAUUCCCGGCGAAGGCA